GCCUUUGUAGUGUAGUGGUCAGCACGCUCGACGCAUAACCGAGAGGUCAAUGGUUCGAUCCUCGGCGAAGGCG
rnacentral:tRNA from 1 species